UUUCCAUUCUCCUGUGCUGACUGAAACGAAGUAUGACACCAGUCUUGCCCAGGCAAGCUGCUUCUUGUGAAUAGGAAGUGAACAACCCUGGAUUCCAGGCCAGGGGGAGAGAGAUAUGAACUCAUCAGCAGAAAUGUGAGUCCUUCCCAGCUUCUCCAUGCUGAUACUCCAUGGUUCUCCUACCACCAGAUGCUACUGAGGCUAAACUGACUGGACUGAGGAAAAAUAUCUGUGGGGAAAACUGUCUUUCAGAAUCCAACUUUGAACCAGAGAAAUCCAUUCUCUUGAGGCUGUCUGCUGUGGAGAAGUUGGCCUCACCAAUCUGUCUUUGGAAUUCAAGUUAUACAGGAUCUGCAAGGCUACCAGUGAAUGAAUGGUAGUUGGUCACUACUUGCAAGUUUUUCGGGAGCUCCUGAAAGAUUACUGCAUAAACAAAUGAGGAUGGAGAUCAGACCUCUGGCUACUGUUGCUGCCACCACCACAGCCACCACCUUCACCCUCAUGAACCCCCUAUUUACUGAACACUCUCUAUAUGCCAGAUGCAAAAUUGGCUACCACAUUGGAAACUGAUAUUGAAUUUCUCAACGAGUC